GGCGGUGUAGCUCAGCUGGUAGAGCAGAGGAAUCAUAAUCCUUGUGUCCGGGGUUCGAGUCCCUGCACCGCUACAA
rnacentral:tRNA from 1 species